GCUCAGUUGGUAAAGCACAAGGUUCUUAACCUUAUGAUCGUGGGUUCGAGCCCCAC
rnacentral:tRNA from 1 species